rnacentral:lncRNA from 1 species
UGUUUGUUUAUGUUUUUUAAUUUAACACUUUUUUUCCUAUUAAGACAUUAGGUCCAUGAGAGCAAGGACCAUGUUUGUUUAGUUUACUGCUAUAUUCUCAGUGCCUCUCACCUUGCCUGUCAACAUAAAAGUACUUCUUGAAAGUGGCAGGCAGUAUUUUAUUUUAAACUAUGUAUUUGUUUUGUUUCUAUCUUAGAGCCAUGAAAUGACAAGCACUGGACUGCUACUUGGUGUUUCUGCUGUAAAACUAGGCACCAUGGAUAUGUCUAUUACUCGGCUUCCUAGCAUUCACAUUCCUGCUCUCUUACCCGCAACGUCCACAGAGCUGGAUGUUCCUCACAAUGUCCAAGUGGCUGCAGUGGUUGGCAUUGGCCUUGUAUAUCAAGGGACAGCUCACAGACAUACUGCAGAAGUCCUGUUGGCUGAGAUAGGAUGGCCUCCUGGUCCUGAAAUGGAAUACUGCACUGACAGAAAGUCAUACUCCUUAGCUGCUGGCUUGGCCCUGGGCAUGGUCUGCUUGGGGCAUGGCAGCAAUUUGAUAGGUAUGUCUGAUCUCAAUGUGCCUGAGCAGCUCUAUCAGUACAUGGUUGGAGGACAUAGGCGCUUUCAAACAGGAAUGCAUAGGGAGAAACAUAAAUCACCAAAUUAUCAAAUCAAAGUAAGUACACAGCAAAGUAAUAGAUCAAAAGUCUGGAAGCUGGGAAGUUAAUUGGAAAAUACUAGAGUUCAUCCUGACAUUGGUAAAUAUGUUAAUUUUAAGCAUAGUUAUCAGAGGAAUUUUAUAAAAAUUUAGAACUCUUUUACAUGCAUAAACUCUUCUUUCAAUAGGAAGGAGAUACCAUAAAUGUGGAUGUGACUUGUCCAGGUGCUACUCUAGCUUUGGCUAUGAUCUACUUAAAAACCAAUAACAGGUAUUUCUACCCACUCACCCUUCCUCCCACGGUGAUAGUGUGAUAUCCUCUCUGACCUUGGUUGUAAAAUUCAGUUAUCUCAUGUGUUUCUUUCCCCUGUGCUGGAUUAAGCUGAUUUUCGUUCUUUCAAGUACUCUAAGUUUUUGAAAGAAAACUUGCAGUAUUUGAAGUUAUAAAGAUUUUACCUAGAAAUAAUGUAUUUGGCUAUUUUAAUUGUAUUUGACAAUAUAGUUUUCAAUUUCUGUUCAUUUCUGUUUUGUAGUUGAUGUCAGUAACACCCAAACAAUGCCCAUGUUUGUUUUCAUUAAUUUAGCAUAUUGCUGUGAGGACUGGUUAAGCCAGAAAUACUUAUCAUUAGUGUGAUCUUGGCUACCAUGUAAAACAAUGGUUUUUGCCUACUUCAAGAGCUUUUGUAAUUACCAAACCGUCUACCUUCCUAACUUGCUAUAUUAAUGCUGAUGCUUGAAAGUAAGAUCUUUGGCAUUUAUGCUUACACGUUGCAUGAAGAGUAAGUUGAGUACAAGAUGUUAUGCCAUGUAUUAAGUCUAUUAAUUAAAAACAAAUUCUAAGAUUCAAGGAGCUUUUCAGUGUUCCACAUUUCUCCCUUCAGAAAAAGUAAAUGUGUGCAGAAUUAACAAAGUGUUUAAAAAUAGAAAUUUAUUACUUUACUAUUUGGAUGAAUGUGUAGGGCAGUGCUUCCUUGGCACUGGGGAUAUUUCAUUGAGCAAAACUAAAAAUAUCUUCCCUCAUGGAGUUUAUGUUAUAGUAAGACAUACAUGUACAUCUAUAAUAACUAUUACGUUAGAAGGUAUAAAAUAUUGUGAAAAAUAUAUAGAGCAGUAGUGGAGUGGGAAGAAAUGUUUUGAAAUAGAGCUUGAGAUUCUUGAUUGUCUUGCCCUCUACUUGAACAGUGUCUCUAGGAAGCCCAGACACAUGGAGAAGUUCUGAGUGUUUUGGCCGAUAGUCCCAGAUGAGGUUCCAGCAACAGCUGGGAUCACCCAUGAGAUGUGAGUGAGGAAGGCUUUGAGAUGGUUUCAGCCCUAGCCACCACUGACCUCAUGAGAGACCACAAGAAAGAGAAUCACCUGGCCAAGCCCAGCAGACCUUCAGAAUUCAGAAAUAAAAUAAUUCGUCUUAUUUUAAGCCACUGUGUUUUGGUUUGAUUCAUCCCAUAGCAAAAGACAACUUCAACAGGCCCUUUCUGAGGCUCUGGAGGGGCCCUGGCAAUGUAUCCAUUUGGUCAUUUGCUUUUGACAAAAGCAGACAUUUUAGCUGUAAUUGGCUAAAAUUCUGAUCUCUUUCUGCC